rnacentral:lncRNA from 1 species
CCAUGGAUCGAGCAGCCUAUUUGGGCUGGCCUGCUGGUAUUUAUUUUUUAUUUAUUUUUCUUUUUUUUUAGCUUCGGAUCUUCAUUCGAGAUCUAUUUUGAGUCUGAUUUGCUCUCAAUUUUUUUUAACCUAUAAAUUGGGCUCUUUGCAUUAACGAUCAUCUUUUCUGCAAAACAUAAGCAAAAGCAUCAAUUUUUAAUAAACA